rnacentral:rRNA from 1 species
CCUACGGGUGGCAGCAGUGAGGAAUAUUGGUCAAUGGACGAGAGUCUGAACCAGCCAAGUAGCGUGAAGGAUGACUGCCCUGUGGGUUGUAAACUUCUUUUAUAUGGGAAUAAAAUGUUCCACGUGUGGGAUUUUGUAUGUACCAUUUGAAUACGGAUCGGCUAACUCCGUGCCAGCAGCCGCGGUAAUACGGAGGAUCCGAGCGUUAUCCGGAUUUAUUGGGUUUAAAGGGAGCGUAGGUGGAUUGUUAAGUCAGUUGUGAAAGUUGGCGGUGCAACCGUAAAAUUGCAGUUGAAACUGGCAGUCUAGAGUACAGUAGAGGUGGGCGGAAUUCGUGGUGUAGCGGUGAAAUGCUUAGAUAUCACGAAGAACUCCGAUUGCGAAGGCAGUUCACUGGACUGCAACUGACACUGAGGCUCGAAAGUGUGGGUAUCAAACAGGAUUAGAUACCCCUGUAGUC